rnacentral:rRNA from 1 species
AUUGAACGCUAGCGGGAUGCUUUACACAUGCAAGUCGAACGGCAGCGCGGACUUCGGUCUGGCGGCGAGUGGCGAACGGGUGAGUAAUGUAUCGGAACGUGCCCAGUAGCGGGGGAUAACUACGCGAAAGCGUAGCUAAUACCGCAUCCGCCCUACGGGGGAAAGCAGGGGAUCGUAAGACAUUGCCCUAUUGGAGAGGCCGAUAUCGGAUUGGCUAGUUGGUGAGGUAACGGCUCACCAAGGCGACGAUCCGUAGCUGGUUUGAGAGGACGACCAGCCACACUGGGACUGAGACACGGCCCAGACUCCUACGGGAGGCAGCAGUGGGGAAUUUUGGACAAUGGGGGCAACCCUGAUCCAGCCAUCCCGCGUGUGCGAUGAAGGCCUUCGGGUUGUAAAGCACUUUUGGCAGGAAAGAAACGUCGCGGGCUAAUACCCCGUGGAACUGACGGUACCUGCAGAAUAAGCACCGGCUAACUACGUG